GGGGAAUAGCCCAGAGAAAUUUGGAUUAAUACCCCGUAACAUUGCGAUGUGGCAUCACAUUGCAAUUAUAGCUUCGGCGCUUAUUGAUGGGUGUGCGUAUGAUUAGAUAGUUGGCGAGGUAACGGCUCACCAAGUCUACGAUCAUUAGCUGAUGUGAGAGCAUGAUCAGCCACACGGGCACUGAGACACGGGCCCGACUCCUACGGGAGGCAGCAGUAAGGAAUAUUGGUCAAUGGACGAAAGUCUGAACCAGCUAUGCCGCGUGAAGGAUUAAGGUCCUCUGGAUUGUAAACUUCUUUUAUAUGGGACGAAAAAAGGUCUUUCUAGAUCACUUGACGGUACCAUAUGAAUAAGCACCGGCUAACUCCGUGCCAGCAGCCGCGGUAAUACGGAGGGUGCAAGCGUUAUCCGGAUUCACUGGGUUUAAAGGGUGCGUAGGCGGGCAGGUAAGUCAGUGGUGAAAUCCUGGAGCUCAACUCCAGAACUGCCAUUGAUACUAUCUGUCUUGAAUAUUGUGGAGGUAAGCGGAAUAUGUCAUGUAGCGGUGAAAUGCUUAGAUAUGACAUAGAACACCUAUUGCGAAGGCAGCUUACUACGCAUAUAUUGACGCUGAGGCACGAAAGCGUGGGGAU
rnacentral:rRNA from 1 species